rnacentral:rRNA from 1 species
GACGAACGCUGGCGGCGUGCUUAACACAUGCAAGUCGAACGGAAAGGCCCUGCUUGCAGGGUGCUCGAGUGGCGAACGGGUGAGUAACACGUGGGUGAUCUGCCCCUUACUUUGGGAUAAGCCUGGGAAACUGGGUCUAAUACUGGAUAGGACCAUGCUGUAGGUGGUGUGGUGGAAAGAUUAGUUUCGGUAAGGGAUGAGCUCGCGGCCUAUCAGCUUGUUGGUGGGGUAAUGGCCUACCAAGGCGUCGACGGGUAGCCGGCCUGGGAGGGUGGACGGCCACAUUGGGACUGAGAUACGGCCCAGACUCCUACGGGAGGCAGCAGUGGGGAAUAUUGCACAAUGGGCGCAAGCCUGAUGCAGCGACGCCGCGUGGGGGAUGACGGCCUUCGGGUUGUAAACUCCUUUCAGCCAUGACGAAGCCCUUGUGGUGACGGUAGUGGUAGAAGAAGCACCGGCUAACUACGUG